GGGCAGCCCAGCUCCCAGACAGUGAGAAAAUUACCAACUUUCCAUGCGCUCCUGCUGCAGCGCUCACGGCCCAGCAAAUCUCGUCCGGAUGCUGCCUGCAACUCCUCUGGCUCGAAACAAGCUGGAGUUGGAAAGAUUAUAUUGUGCAACUACAUCCAAGUCCCUGCAGUUUCUGUGUGCUGGGUGUGGUGUGGAGUUAAAACCUCAGCAAGAGGAGCUGCAGCUUGCUGCAUCCAGUGGUCACCCCUGCUGGGAGGAUGGGCUGGAGGGUAGCCCCCAGCCACACUCAGUCUGGCACCAGUCAGGGUGACCGGAUAGAAAGUGUGAAAAAUCAGGACCAGGGGGGAGGUAAUAGGCGCCUAUAUAAGAAAAAGCCCCAAAUAUCAGGACUGUCCCUAUAAAAAUCAGGACAUCUCCCUCCAGCCCUUCCCCAGCGGGGCAGGGGUGCAGCACCGAGAUGCAACAGCCCUGGCCACUAGCGCCUAGCCACAGGCUCAGCUUUCCCGGGCGCAGCUGAUUGAAAGGCUCUCCCAGCUCAGGGCCCCCGUACAGACCGCCCCCCCCGCCCCAUCUGCUUGCUGCUGCAGCUGGGAGAUCACCAGGCAUAGCUCCACAUGAUUGCUGAUCAAGGGAGAGAGACGGAAGGCCUGGAGUUUUCUUGUCCCCUCCUCAAAGGUUUCCACUUUCCUGAUCUGAGAAGGGAACUUCAUCAAUCCUCCCUCCUCUCCCAUGCCAAUCCAGGGUGCAUCCCCCUCUCCCCAGUGGGUUGUUAUAGGGGGCAGCAGGGAGUUCCCAGCUCCUGCAGUAGAAAAGGAAGAACCCAUAUCACACCCAAGGGCUCCCCUCAACUCCUGCACAUACUUAGGUGCAUCACUGCACUCAUGCAUAGGACCAGGAAGUUCAAGGUAGCGUGACUGUAAAGGGAAAAUGGGACACUGAACAGGAUUGGCUAAAAGGCCUCCCCUCUCAGCUCUACAGUUUCUUUCUAAAGAAAAUGGAAAACGUUUUCCACUGCAUGCCAGAUUGUGAAGACCCGACAUGCAGAAGCUACAGCUCCUGGUAUCAAGUGAUGGCAGAAUAUCAGCUUUCAUUUAAAAAGAGGAAGUACAUUUCCAGCUCUCCAGGACUGCAUGUGACUGCUAAAGGCUCAAAAACCAGCAGGCAAAGAAAGAACCCACCAUGUAUUAUUAGUCUCAUGAUUUUUGGAGACUUCCUCAGCAUUUUUG